UACGGGGGGAGCAAGCGUUGUUCGGAUUUACUGGGCGUAAAGGGCGCGUAGGCGGCGCAACAAGUCACUUGUGAAAUCUCCGGGCUUAACCCGGAGCGGCCAAGUGAUACUGUCGUGCUAGAGUGCGGAAGGGGCUACUGGAAUUCUCGGUGUAGCGGUGAAAUGCGUAGAUAUCGGGAGGAACACCAAUGGCGAAGGCAGCUCGCUGGGACGUGACUGACGCUGAGACGCGAAAGCGUGGGGAGCAAACAGG
rnacentral:rRNA from 1 species